CCGACUCAGGGUAUUGCUAUCUGGUCUCCGUGGUAGGGCGCUAACUACGGAGCUACGCCCUUUCCUCGCGCCGUCGCGCUGCUCGCGUGUGAACCUAUACCCCCAAAAAUAACACGGGGGUGAGAACUAUUGUCCAUAGUUCCCAGUGGGUACGGCCACCCAAGGGAAGAGCUCGACCCACCAGGUCCAAAGGAGGCACUGCAA
rnacentral:lncRNA from 1 species